UCUAAUAUGGCAGAUUAAGUGUAUUGGAUUUAAACUCCAAAAAUAAAGUUUAAACUUUUUUUAGAA
rnacentral:tRNA from 1 species